rnacentral:tRNA from 1 species
ACCCGGCUGGCUCAGUUGGUAGAGCAUGCAACUCUUGAUCCCAGGGUCAUGAGUUCAAGCUCAAUGUUGGGUG